CAGGACGAACGCUGGCGGCGUGCUUAACACAUGCAAGUUGAACGGUAUGACAUGGAAGCUUGCUGAAGUGUCAUAUAGUAGCGGACGGGUGAGUAAUGCAUGAGAAGCUGCCAUUGGGAGGGGGACAACAGUUGGAAACGGCUGCUAAUACCCCGUAUGCCGGAGGGUGAAAGGGAGUAAUCCGCCCGAUGAGGUGCUCAUGUCCUAUCAGCUGGUCGGUGGGGUAACGGCCUACCAAGGCGACGACGGGUAGCCGGCCUGAGAGGGUGAACGGCCACACUGGAACUGAGAUACGGUCCAGACUCCUACGGGAGGCAGCAGGUGGGGAAUAUUGGGACCAAGUGGGGGCAACCCUGACCCAGCGACGCCGCGUGGGGAAGACGGCCUUCGGGUUGUAAACCUCUUUUGUACGGGAAGAAGGAAGUGACGGUACUGUACGAAUAAGUCCCGGCUAACUGCGUGCCAGCCGCCGC
rnacentral:rRNA from 1 species